rnacentral:rRNA from 1 species
UCCCGGCAGUCCAAGUUGCAACCAUUUUUAUUGGGUCUAAAACAUCCGUAGCUUGCUUAAUAAGUUUCUUGUGAAAUUCCACAUCUCAAGUGUGGAGCGUGCAGGAAAUACUAUUAAGCUAGGGACCGGUAGAUGUAAGGAGUACGUCAGAGGUAGUGGUAAAAUAUGUUAAUCUUUGGCGGACUAACAAUCAGCGAAGGCACCUUACAAGGACGGAUCUGACAGUGAGGGAUGAAGGCCAGGGGCGCAAAAC